AAAUCUUCUUCUUCUUCUUCCCAAUACCCUCACCCUACCCUACCCCCACUCAUCCCUAAACCAAAUCCAGAGUCGCUCGCCACCGUCAACUUCCACUAUCGCCACCACCACUGCCACAGCCACCGCCAUCACCACCCACCCCUUCACCUUCUUCCCCAAUGAAAAGUCAAGAAUUAAAUUUUAACCCCACUAAAAUGUAAUCUCUUUCAUUAAUUUUUCUCUUUAAUUUCUUCAUUCAAACAAUUGGGUUUUGAGAAAAUCCGAAACCUCUCAAAUUCAAUCAUACGAUUAUAGACCAUUUUGGCCAGAGGAAGAGAAUGUAUAUCUAUUCAAUUAUAGCCCAUGAUUUUUAAUUCUUAGAUGAGCCGAUGAAGGGGUGCAAUUUUCCAUGGUGCAAAAUUCACUCUUCCUGGUAGUGAAUACCAUGGAGUCCCCAAGAUGGACCAGCAUAUAUGAGAGCUCCAUAUUCAUCGACCAAGCUCACGGCAGGCUGGGAAACGAGAAAUUGGCAAUUUUCACUCUUUUUUUUUUUUUUUUUUUUUUUUUUUU
rnacentral:lncRNA from 1 species